UUCUGGAGGGUUUAUAUGGGGAGGAAGAGGGGUAGGGCUGAACAUUGUUUCCUCAUGUGUGUGCAGGGCUAGGAGGGAGGAAUUUGGCAGAAGUCCCUCUGGAAGAUAUUGUAGUAUCUGCAGGCGUUCAUCAAACACAUCCUUCUCCCCACUGCUUCCUUUUAGGAGGGAAUUACGGACUGUGAAUCUCAAUUUGAGAGCAAUACAAUGGGUAUUUAUUCUUUUGAAUGAGGAAAGUUGCUAUUAGCCCCUUGACAUGAAAAUACUUCUGGUGAUACAAGGCUUGCGUCCUUGCUUCUGUGCUUUUGUUUGAUCAGAUGGAAGAGUGCUACCAGAGGUACGCACAUGCAGGGAAGGGCAGCUAACAGCACACAGAUUGCCUGUACCCAAGGUGGGUAAACUUUCUCCUCUUUCAUGGGGAAGCCUUCCUAUGGAGACAAAAAAGCAAGAGAAAGAAAUAACUGGUAUGGAAAGUCUGUGAGACAUUUCUCUUCAACACGUCUCAGCAUUACACACACCUAUAACAAAUAUGAAGCACAUAGUGUGUGGGACACCUCAAGAAUAGACACAUUUUAGUAUAUGUAACCUCUUUGCAUACUGGAGCCUUCUCAUUCUGAGCACUACAUCACUGCAGGCUGCAUUCCAUAGACAUACACAACUCCAAUUACUUCAAAGAAAGCAAUGACUAGAAGAGGCACUGAGCCUGCAUAUCUGUCAAAAAUGUCAAUCCAGUAACUCCCUGAACCCAGUGUAAAACAGAGAGCAAUGAGGAAGCUAAUUAGACAUAUUAUACCUGAAGAAAAAAAGAUAUCUUUGUUACUGGAGUAUUGAACUUGGAUUACCUGUUGGAAGCAGUUAUGGUACCUGAUCAAGAAAUUCUUGAAGGUCACAGCUCUUCAGUUUGAGUCCAGCAAUUUUUUCUGGAUGUGAUGAAUUCAGGAAACUAAUCCAGGAGUCUUGCAGGACAACUUGUGUGUCUUCUGUGUCUACCUGAUCCUGGUACAUGACUGAGAACAUUUGCAGGAGUGAGAGUAUCUUCAGAAGAAAAAAUGUGCUGAUGCCAGAAACAUGCAGAUGAAGAUAUACAACCAGAAUGUCAAUGAAUGAACACAGGAGUAAUGAGGAAAGGAAGCAUAAUUGCUACCUCAUGGGUGAUUUUCAAGAACAGUGAGGUGCCACAGUUACCAGAAGGUGGACGUGGCAGGUGUCAGAAACUACAAUUUGUGCUGCACUGCAAAGUAGGAAAAAAGUUGGAAAAUACUGCCUCCACAUCAGGCAUAGGUGUGUAGGAAGUGUGUGCUGGAUGAGAGCUCAUUUGCGAUUCCUUGAGCUGGGACCCAAAGAGACGUACCAACCCCUCCAAGCAUCUCCUUUGGGCCAGAGGCAGCACAUGCUGUUGGUUACCUGUGGGAAGGGACCAGUCCUGCCAGCAGCCUAUUUCCUGCUAAACUGUGUGCAAUUCCUUGUUUCCCACACCUUCCCUCAGAAAGGACAUGGGUUUGGGCCUCCCUUCUUUUGCACAGAUACUGAUUUUUAUGAGACCAGGAGAAGUUCCAUCAGUAUGUUUAUACCACCUGCCCAAAUGUCCAAUCAAAUUGAAAUGGUGUAAUAGAUUGAAGUUUGUUGCCAUGACCAACAACCACUGUGACCACGAAGCCUCUUUUCUCCAGGGAAACAACGACAGAAGUCCUGCCUCAGCCACCUCCCAGUCCUCCUACCAACGUGUACUGAUUCUAUGCUCCUCAUUGCUUUGUCAAUAAACCUGUGCCUUGUUCUACCAUUUCUACUUUGCCUCCAAAUCUCAUAUCUGAGUCUGCUCAGCUCUGCUCUUCCAGCUCUGGAAACUUUCUCCUCUUCCUCCAGGAUGACAGGGAGAGCAGCCUCACCAUCCCCAUCCGAGAGAGCAGAACAGAGUAGCUCUGCUCUCUGCUCAGUCUUCAGCCCUGAGAGGGAGGUUGGGGAAUGCAGAAGGAUUUGCCGUCUCCACCUGGAGUGGCGCCAGGAUUCUGCAAUCACUGGUUAUUUAGAAAGGCUGGGCAGAUAAAUCUAAUCACUUAGGCUAGUGUUGUAUUGCAGUAACUUCACUACCUAUUGCUAGGAGCUG